rnacentral:rRNA from 1 species
UACGAAGGGGGCUAGCGUUGCUCGGAAUCACUGGGCGUAAAGGGUGCGUAGGCGGGUCUUUAAGUCAGGGGUGAAAUCCUGGAGCUCAACUCCAGAACUGCCUUUGAUACUGAAGAUCUUGAAUUCGGGAGAGGUGAGUGGAACUGCGAGUGUAGAGGUGAAAUUCGUAGAUAUUCGCAAGAACACCAGUGGCGAAGGCGGCUCACUGGCCCGAUACUGACGCUGAGGCGCGAAAGCGUGGGGAGCGAACAGG